rnacentral:snRNA from 1 species
GUGCUUGCUUCAGCAGCACACAUACUAAAAUUGGAACAACACAGAGAAGAUCAGCAUGGCCCCUGCACAAAGGAUGACAUUCAAAUUCGUGAAGCGUUCCACACUGGG